AGAGUUUGAUCCUGGCUCAGGAUGAACGCUGGCGGCGUGCUUGAUACAUGCAAGUCGAACGAACCAGUGAAUGGUGAAUUUCCGUCUGAAGGGUGGAGCUUGAGAAAUCUUGCAAAGCCUGGAUGGCGGUCUGAAACCGCUAACAGGUUAGUGGCGGACGGGUGAGUAACGCGUGGGUGACCUGCCCCGAAGUGGGGAACAACCGCUCGAAAGGGCGGCUAAUUCCGCGUAAUAUCGGUCAUUCGGUUGGCCGAUGAAAGGCUUCGGUCGCUUUGGGUGGGGCCCGCGUCCGAUUAGCUAGUUGGUGAGGUAAUGGCCCACCAAGGCUAUGAUCGGUAGCUGGUCUGAGAGGAUGAUCAGCCACACUAGCACUGAAACACGGGCUAGACUCCUACGGGAGGCAGCAGUAAGGAAUAUUGCACAAUGGGCGAAAGCCUGAUGCAGCAACGCCGCGUGAGCGAUGAAGCCUCUAGGGGUGUAAAGCUCUUUUCUGUGGGAAGAGGAAGGACGGUACCACAGGAAUAAGUCUCGGCUAACUACGUGCCAGCAGCCGCGGUAAUACGUAGGAGACGAGCGUUAUCCGGAUUUAUUGGGCGUAAAGAGCAUGUAGGUGGGCUCUCAAGUCGGACGUAAAAUCUCUCGGCUCAACUGAGAGGGGUCGUUCGAUACUAGGAGUCUUGAGGGCAGGAGAGGGGAGUAGAAUUCCCGGUGUAGUGGUGGAAUACGUAGAUAUCGGGAGGAAUACCAGUGGCGAAGGCGACUCCCUGGCCUGUGCCUGACGCUGAGAUGCGAAAGCGUGGGUAGCAAACGGGAUUAGAUACCCCGGUAGUCCACGCCCUAAACGAUGGAUACUAGGUGUCGGGGGUCUUUACCCCCCCGGUGCCGUAGCAAACGCGAUAAGUACCCCGCCUGAGGACUACGGUCGCAAGACUAAAACUCAAAGGAAUUGACGGGGACCCGCACAAGCAGCGGAGCGUGUGGUUUAAUUCGAGGCUACACGAAGAACCUUACCUGGGCUUGACAUGCUAGUGGUAGCGACGGGAAACCCGAGCGACCCUUCGGGGAGCUAGCACAGGUGCUGCAUGGUUGUCGUCAGCUCGUGCCGUGAGGUGUUAGGUUAAGUCCUGCAACGAGCGCAACCCUCGCUGCUAGUUAAAUUUCUCUAGCGGGACUGCCGGGGUAACCCGGAGGAAGGUGGGGAUGACGUCAAAUCAGCAUGGCCCUUAUUGUCCAGGGCUACACACACGCUACAAUGGUCGGUACAAUGGGUUGCCAAACCGCGAGGUGGAGCCAAUCCCCCAAAGCCGGCCCCAGUUCAGAUUGGAGGCUGCAACUCGCCUCCAUGAAGCCGGAGUUGCUAGUAACCGCCGGUCAGCUAUACGGCGGUGAAUACGUUCCCGGGUCUUGUACACACCGCCCGUCACGUCAUGGGAGUCGGUAACACUUGAAGCCAGUGGGCUAACCGUAAGGAGGCAGCUGUCGAGGGUGGGACUGGUGACUGGGACGAAGUCGUAACAAGGUA
rnacentral:rRNA from 1 species